rnacentral:rRNA from 1 species
AGCAGCCGCGGUAAUUCCAGCUCCAAUAGCGUAUAUUGAAGUUGUUGCAGUUAAAAAGCUCGUAGUUGAAUUUCGGGAUCAAUGUUUCGGUCAUGCCCUUGGUAUGUACUGAUAUUAUUGGUUUCUCACCUUCUAAAGAACCGUAAUGCCAUUAAUUUGGUGUCACGGGGAAUUAGGACUGUUACCUUGAAAAAAUUAGAGUGUUUAAAGCAGGCUCACGCUUGAAUACAUUAGCAUGGAGUAAUGAAAUAGGACAUCCGAUUCUAUUUUGUUGGUUUCUAGGAUCGAUGUAAUGAUUAAUAGGGAUAGUUGGGGGCAUUAGUAUUCAAUUGUCAGAGGUGAAAUUCUUGGAUUUAUUGAAGACUAACUACUGCGAAAGCAUUUGCCAAGGAUGUUUUCAUUAAUCAAGAACGAAAGUUAGGGGAUCGAAGACGAUCAGAUACCGUCGUAGUCUUAACCAUAAACUAUGCCGACUAGGGAUCGGAUGAUGUUAAUUUUUUAAUGACUCA